AGAUCCAAUAGCGUAUAUUAAAGUUGUUGCAGUUAAAAAGCUUGUAGUUGAACUUGUGGCCUGGAUGGCUCGGUUUGACGCUUAUGGGUGAGUAUCUGAGCCAUCCGAUCAUCCUUGGGUGGAAUCUUUGUGGCAUUAAGUUGUCGUGUAGGGGAUACCUGUUAUUUACUGUGAAAAAAUCAGAGUGUUCAAAGCAGGCUUAUGCCUCUGAAUAUAUUAGCAUGGAAUAAUGAUAUAGGACUUUAGUACUAUUUUGUUGGUUUGUACACUAAAGUAAUGAUUAAUAGGGACAGUUGGGGAUAUUAGUAUUUUUAGGUCAGAGGUAAAAUUCUUGGAUUCUUUAAAGACUAACUACUGUGAAAGCAUUUAUCAAGGAUGUUUUCA
rnacentral:rRNA from 1 species